CUCCAUCCUAUCCACAGUCCUGUAGGUCUCCAUCCUACUCCACAGUCCUGUAGGUCUCCAUCUUACUCCACAGUCCUGUAGGUCUUCAUCCUACUCCACAGUCCUGUAGGUCUCCAUAUUACUCCACAGUCCUGUAGGUCUCCAUCCUACUCCACAGUCCUGUAUGUCUCCCACUUUUAAAACACAGGAUGUGGUGUCUUUAUACCUUUUAUAAUGUGAACUAAACAGGAUGAUGGCUGAUCCAUACCCCUUCAGGAGUGAGCUCAGUUCAUAUUUAUCUAUAAACAUUCAGGUUGGACUGUUCUACUCUGCGACUGGCACCUUCUUUCAUCUCUGAAGCUUGUUCUAUAGCCUGUCAUAGUAGAGAGAUUUAACUGUACAGGUAAAAAUGGACAAAACACUCAUUGGUGGAUCCAAUUGCAGAUGUACAGAAAGAUGGCAGGUCUACAGUUUGCUGUCAUUCAAGCCAUGCCCCCACCACAGUACAAUGGUAAGAUGGCAGGUCUACAGUUUGCUGUCAUUCAAGCCAUGCCCCCAUCACAGUACAAUGGUAAGAUGGCAGGUCUACAGUUUGCUGUCAUUCAACCCAUGCCCCCACCACAGUACAAUGGUAAGAUGGCAGCAUCAAUAGUGCUUAAUGCAGGUCAAAUGUAGACUCCAUCUUUGUGCACAUCCACAAUAAGUAAGCUUCCUACAGCAGAUAAGUUUCAGUCAACUGUGACUGUUUCACUUGAAUCUUAUAAUUACUUCUAUCUACGACGGAAAAUGUCCCCAAUAUAAAAUGACAGAAAUUCAACCGAACAUUUCAACAAAAUCAACACGACGAUCAAAACCCUUUCACUAUAUUUCAGAGUAUGGUAAAUACAGGAAACAUCUAUUUCAGAGCAGGAGGGGCAUCUCUCUCAUUUGCAUUUGAACUCCACCCACUCGGGCCCAACAGACAAUGAGGAAUGUGUCUGAGCCAGCGGGCACAAGCACUGUCUUAAAUGGCUAUUAAGUGAUGUCACAAAUACCUUACAGCUUUUCUUUUUUGUGACACUAGUUUUUAUUGUAACUUUGUAUUCCUUUUUAUCCAAUAAUUUUUGAAAAUCUGCAAAAAUUAUUAUGCCUUUUAUACUCUACAGGAAAAAGUCUUAAGAUAAAAUAAAUAAAACAAAACAGCAGACAGACUUUUAAAUGAAUUAGAUGUCAUAUUCACAUGG